CCCUUCUCCAGGGGAUCUUUCCAACCCAGGGAUCAAAUCUGGGUCUCCUGUGUCGCAGCCACACGGGAGGAACUUUCAGACUCCCAGCCCACUGAGAGCUAAAUGCACAAGGGAUUCCCAUGAGGUACUCACCAGAUCACUGGGGCAGCUGGUAGUCUGUGCUAUUGCUGGGAGAAGAGCCUGAAGAACCUCCAACGAUGAAGAAACACCCAAGGUUUGCCUCUAGAGGGUGGAAGUCAGUGUUUCCUCUUCUCACCAGCAGCUCAGAAUCUGGUUAAGUGGCUCAAAGUGCCUCAAGCUCACUUCAGAAAUUCAGGUCCCCGUCAUCCAGGGCAUCCUUCACCGAAGGAAGGACAGCCAGGGGCAGCAGGCAGAUUCCAGCGAGUUUGUCUUCAACCCCCAACGAUACAGAUGAACAGUACAGACGACCCUGUGGGCAAUGCGGUGUGUGCACCACUCUCAGGUGGUUGGGCAGAGUUGCUCGGAAUUCAACUGCAGGCUGACGCCAUUGUACCCCAUCACAGUAAACUGAAACCAGAUCCAGGCAUCCUCAAACAAACCUCCCAACGUCUCUGCUGUCUUCCUGUUGGAGCCAGGGUGGGCCAAAGUUUGUUAGCAAUCCUUGGCAGUUAGGCUCCAAAAAGUGUCCUCCUGGUGUAACUCGUACUAAUGAAACAAUAUCGAGUUCAGUUCUGAAAAGGUGUGAGCUCUCACUCUAGCACCCAUAGUCUU
ensembl:lncRNA